CCUACGGGGGGCUGCAGUGAGGAAUAUUGGACAAUGGAUGGAAAUCUGAUCCAGCCAUGCCGCGUGCAGGAAGACGGCCCUAUGGGUUGUAAACUGCUUUUGUAUGGGAGCAAUAAGGUCUACGUGUAGACCGAUGAGAGUACCAUACGAAUAAGCACCGGCUAACUCCGUGCCAGCAGCCGCGGUAAUACGGAGGGUGCAAGCGUUAUCCGGAUUUAUUGGGUUUAAAGGGUGCGUAGGCGGUUUGAUAAGUCAGCGGUGAAAUAUUUCAGCUU
rnacentral:rRNA from 1 species